UUAUGAGUAAUUUCUUCAUCAUUGUCGCCAUCAUCCUGGUUUCCUCAUCAUAGUUUUUUACCAUGAAAGUUUCAUCUUAUUCACUCAAAUAUUCAUUAUCAUUAAAAAUAAAAAACUCAAAUUAAAAAAAAAACUAAAUUUCUGAAUUUUAUCCAAUAAAUUAAAAUCUAAAUCUAAGGACAACAAUGCCCUUAAUUAUCUCCCCCCC
rnacentral:lncRNA from 1 species